UGCAUCGUCCGGGAAUCGAACCUGGGCCGCCCGCGUGGCAGGCGAGCAUUCUUCCACUGAACCACCGAUGC
rnacentral:tRNA from 1 species